UGGGGAAUUUUGGACAAUGGGCGAAAGCCUGAUCCAGCAAUGCCGCGUGUGUGAAGAAGGCCUUCGGGUUGUAAAGCACUUUUGUCCGGAAAGAAAUCCUUGGCUCUAAUACAGUCGGGGGAUGACGGUACCGGAAGAAUAAGCACCGGCUAACUACGUGCCAGCAGCCGCGGUAAUACGUAGGGUGCAAGCGUUAAUCGGAAUUACUGGGCGUAAAGCGUGCGCAGGCGGUUUGCUAAGACCGAUGUGAAAUCCCCGGGCUCAACCUGGGAACUGCAUUGGUGACUGGCAGGCUAGAGUAUGGCAGAGGGGGGUAGAAUUCCACGUGUAGCAGUGAAAUGCGUAGAGAUGUGGAGGAAUACCGAUGGCGAAGGCAGCCCCCUGGGCCAAUACUGACGCUCAUGCACGAAAGCGUGGGGAGCAAAACAGGAUUAGAUACCCUGGUAGUCCACGCCCUAAACGAUGUCAACUAGUUGUUAGGGAUUCAUUUUCCUUAGUAACGUAGCUAACGCGUGAAGUUGACCGCCUGGGGAGUACGGUCGCAAGAUUAAAACUCAAAGGAAUUGACGGGGUCAUAGCUGUUUCCU
rnacentral:rRNA from 1 species